UACGUAGGGGGCAAGCGUUGUCCGGAAUCAUUGGGCGUAAAGAGCGCGUAGGCGGCUUGGCAAGUCUCGCGUGAAAUCCUGCGGCUCAACCGCAGGCGGUCGCGGGAAACUGCCUCGCUAGAGUCCGGAAGAGGAGAGUGGAAUUCCUGGUGUAGCGGUGGAAUGCGCAGAUAUCAGGAAGAACACCCGUGGCGAAGGCGGCUCUCUGGGACGGUACUGACGCUGAGACGCGAAAGCGUGGGGAGCGAACAGG
rnacentral:rRNA from 1 species